rnacentral:rRNA from 1 species
UUACAAUGGCAGGUACAGAGGGAUGCUACCGGGCGACCGGAUGCGGAUCUCGAAAGCCUGUCCCAGUUCGGACUGGAGUCUGCAACCCGACUCCACGAAGUUGGAUUCGCUAGUAAUCGCGCAUCAGCCAUGGUGCGGUGAAUACGUUCCCGGGCCUUGUACACACCGCCCGUCAAGCCAUGGGAGCCGGGGGCGCCUGAAGUCCGGGACCGCGAGGACCGGCCUAGGGCGAAACUGGUAACUGGGGCUAAGUCGUAACAAGGUACC